rnacentral:rRNA from 1 species
UACGAAGGGGGGCUAGCGUUGCUCGGAAUUACUGGGCGUAAAGCGCACGUAGGCGGUCUUUUUAAGUCGGGGGGUGAAAUCCUGGAGCUCAACUCCGGAAUUGCCAUUGAUACUGAUGGACUUGAAUCAAGUUGAGGUGGAUGGAAUAUUACAUGUAGCGGUGAAAUGCUUAGAUAUGUAAUAGAACACCAAUUGCGAAGGCAGUUCACUAAGCUUGUAUUGACACUGAGGCACGAAAGCGUGGGGAUCAAACAGG